rnacentral:lncRNA from 1 species
CUUUGGUAACCGUUUCCACCCGAAUUGUCAUAAGAUUCAUACCUCCCAUUCGAGUAUCCUCCACCACCACCUCGACCUCCCCGGGGGGCGUUGGAAUGACCUCUUCUAGCACCUCUAUGACCUCUCUGGUUCUGGUGGGUUCCACGUGGUACAUACUGUUGCUGAUAAUCUCUCUUUGACCUCCCUCCUUCCACCUGAGUAUAUCCUUGUUCCUGCUGUCCUUGGACCAACUCUCCUUCCGUCACUGACUCAUCCUUCAAACCCCAAAUAUAUAAAAAAAAAAAAAUCAACAAAUUCAGCCUAGAGCAAUCGAUUUAUAAAGAUGCUUUUAAAAGCUCCACAUUUCACUGGAUUACCUUUGGUUGCUCAGAUUGAUCAUUAACAGCAGGUUCUUGUUCUUUAAUGUUUGAUGCGUCUUCUUCCUGCAACCAGAUGAACAUCAGUCCCACGGAAAGAAAGAGAACAAUGGAUACACAAGCGAAGGAUGUAUGUUCUCUACAUCACAUAACUAGACACUCAAGAGAAACAUGUCUUAAACAUUCGCCACAGUGAAGAAAAAUACUGUCACGGUUAUUAAUCACUACUCACAUGAAUAAACCAGAAUAUAUUAACAACUCGUAGAGCAGAGUUCUCAAAGACCAUAAAAUUAAUGUAACAAUCAACUUAACAAUGUACUUCUCUAUCCUGAUCACACAAAGCACAAGCCUAGAGCCUAGACAAACUCUGACUCCUACACAAAAGAAACUCGAUCUGGGAUCACUAGUCUCCUCCUUGGGAUCAAAUUAGAGCUUAGCAUCUCAUAACAGAAAGAACAACAUGCAUUCGACCUAUGAAAUUCACUAACAAUUUGAUAACAAACAAAGAACUAGCAAUAAGCAGUUUAGCUUUGAAAAGAAUGUGUUAUGAAACAAAACAGCAAUGCAACCUAAAAAAAAGUCACACACAAACGAAGAAAGAGAAUUCAGAUGAUCAAAGCAUUUCAAUGAUAACCACUGAGAGCUCCCUCUCCAACUCAAAACCUAACCUAAAAAGGUGAAUACCUACCUUUUGCUCAGUGUCAGCAGCGACUUGGAAAGCACCGUAGUUACCAGCAGCAGCUGCAGACGCUGCUUCAACAGGAGCAACCAUCUCAGGAGUAAUAGUGAAGUAAUUAGAACCCAUAAUCUUCUUCAACUUCUCUCUCAGUCCAGCAUCUGAAACACCACAAAUCCCAAUAAGUAAAAACUAAAACAAACACGUAGCAAAAGAAGCAAACUAACUUUUGGAUUUUUCUUACAUGAAACAUUGCAGUUGGAAGCAAUCGGCUGGUUCGAGUUAGCCAACCAAAGCUUAGCAUGCUCGACGCAACGCUCCAAAGCGUUCUUGUGAGACAAGAACGAAUCCGCAGGCCUGGAUACCAUCAUAGUCCACAGCUCGGAAAUCAAAUCCAGAUCCUUAUCACAUAGCAGAUCCGUGGACUCAUCCGUAACCGUAUCGUAAACCAAACAGCAACCUCUCUCGUGCGUCCUCGUCAGCAUAAUCGAAGCCAACUCGUUCUGCGACUUCACGUCGAAGAGCGAGCCAAAGUACAAGAGAUUCACCAAAUCCUCCAACUUCUUCGCUUCUUCCUCCUCGGGAGCGUCAGCUACUUCGUUUUGAUCGGGGGGAGCUUGAUUGUGGUGGUGGAGGUGGUGAGUAGUGGCCAGGGUGAUUUCUUCGGAGACGGCGGCGGAGAGAGGAGCGCGGAGCUUGUCGAGCUCUUCGAUGAGGACGAGGACGGACGGUUUGGAGCGGAGGACUUCUUGUUGCUCCUUGUUUAGGGUUUUCCCCUGAGAGAUCGAUUCUUCCAUUUGAGUGAUUCGGUUGAGUUUCUUGCGGAGGGCGCGGAGACGCUUGUUGAUGAGUCCCAUCACUGGUCCUUCGCUGGCGUCUGAGGAAGAUGUCGCUGUCGCUGUCGCAGUAGCGGUAGGUGCCAUGGUGUUGGAUUUGUGUAGGAGAUCGAUUUAAUCGGCGGAGAAAGUGACCACCGUUGAACAGCGGCGGUGAAGAAAUGAGAGAGAAGAGGAAGAGGAAGAGGAUGAUUAGGGUUUUUCUGAGAGAUGUAAGUGACUGCUAUGUGUUCUUAAAUAUAUUGGAUAAUUGAUACUGAAAAAGAUAAAAUCAAUGAACCGAAAUUACUCCCUUAAUUUCUAAACUAUUUUUUCGCGGAUUAGAUUUUUAAAAAAUUAUUAUGUAUCAAUUUAGGUGGUUCUUGGAAAUAACAUACGAAAGUUUAACAAAAUUUAUUUCUUACAGAUGAAGAUACACUUUCUUUUCCUCUUAUUUUUCUUCUUUUCUCCAAAGAGAGUAUUUUAAUCAAGUAUAUGAGAAAAUAAGAUAUUUGUAUAGUGGAUAAUGCCAUUAGCAUUUUUGAAUGAUUGUUGUGGAAAUACUUGCUUCUCCGGCUUUUAGCUGAUUUUUUAGUACAAUAUGCAUACGGUCAUGCAUUCGAUUGUUUUUUAUUGUACAAUUUAAUUUUUCAGGGUAGUGAUGCUCGCAUUUGACUUCAUGGUUGAGCAUUUGUAUUUCUCUGGAGUCUUGUGUGUUGGGGGUUGUUGUAGGAAAUCAAUGGAAAUUCAGCCGACAUGAAUUAACAUUUCUGGUACAGCGUAACAUGAUGUUCUAACGUUUACACAUACUCCAAUUUUUCAAGAUACUCCUUUUCAUUUACCAGUAAGUACUAAGUAGUAACUAUGAUUUAUUGUACAUAGGAAAAACAAAACAAUACUCGUUCCUGUCGAAUGCAUGCUCCUACAAAUAACAAUCCAAAUGCUCGUUUACAAAAUGAAAUCGUUUAUUUACAACAAGAAAAACGAACAACUUGGUCUAUAUUCACCAAAAAGAAUGUAUAAGCAUUUUUUUCUAUUAUCAAAACUCUAUACUGCAUUUUUUCACAUAUCAACUCAUACUGUAGAGCAAGCAAUGCUCAUGGUGCGACGUCUUUUAUCUCCGUUACCAAGAGUCUCGUACCAUCUACCAAUCUUAUUGUCUUAUAGACCUUUUAUAAGGUUCAUAUCAUAAUGCUCCACCAAAACACUCACCACACGAGAAGACAAUCACUGGUCUAGAGGCUAGCACUGGAGGGUACCAAAAUGACAUGCAGUGUUCCAUUGUUAGGAGGAAGUUGCAAACGAAGGGGAAACAGCUUGCCGUUUAAUGGACUGCGAGUGCACACCACAGCGUCCUCCAUGCACGUUUCUUCUCGCAACGUCUGAGUCAGCUCCGCCACGCUGUUCCCUUUAAACGUGAAAGCAUAUCCAACGCUCGAUUCAUCCUCCACGUGUCCUUCAUCGUCAGCGAUGUGGUAGUAUAUCGUUCUCCCAUCCGAUUUCGGUGGAGACACAACCGACUGGUCAAAACCAAAGUUCAUGUCAGGAGGGUAAUUAUAAACAAAAUUUGAGGGUAUUUCAGUAAUUAGCAAUAGUAACUCACAUCUUGUUCGGAUCUCUCUGAAAGAGAAGACGGAGUCCUCGAUGGCCUCCUAUGCGGUGGUGGCUGCGUCUUCACCGGCGGAGGCUGCGUCUUCGGUGACGGAGUGAACUCAGUCUCCGCCGUGACUUGAGGAUUAACCAAGAUCUCAACAACAUCAACCUCCCACGAGAUGGAAUCCUGAGUAGCCGACAAAUGAGGAUUGUCGUGCGUCACCGAGUUUCUCCACGGCGGAAGACCACCGUUACCUCGUAGAUAGUUACCGUAUCUCGUCCUGAGCUUAAUCUUGGAUCCUUCUCUAACUGGUUCCCACUCAACAGACGAGUCGAGACGACUCGGUUUUAGCUGAAUCACUUUCUUCCCGGUAGCUCCGAGCAAGAACCGCUCGUUCGAAGCGGUUAGGUAUUUACCGUAACAGCUUUUGAGACGGAUCACGUGGUACGAAUCGCGAACCGGUUCGACGGUCCAUCGAGCGCUUUUGUUUGAUCCGUUUCGGGCUUGUGUCCGUGGCAAGUGGCUUUUUAAAACUAAAAAAGGGUCGAAAAACUCUUUUAUCCAAAGACUCUCAUCGACCAUGAGCUCACGUCUCAGUUAGUGCUGUUUGGAUGAGAACACCUAAACCCAUAUUUGACUAUCUGAAAUGGCUCUCAUGGAGAGAAAAGGGAUCAUAUUGAUUGAUGGCUACAAAAGAAAAACAGAAGUUCAUAACACCAAAGAGCACUUGACAAAAGUUCGAAACCCAAACAAGGACACGCACCCAAAAGUCAACAAGGCAGAAAAGCUAAGACGCAACAGUUACGUUUGAGUCUUGGUUGUUGUUGUUGUUGUAUGAAUGGCCGUUUCCUCCACCACCACCACGUCCCCUUCCUCUGUUGUUGUAGUGGCUCCUUUGGUAACCGUUUCCACCCGAAUUGUCAUAAGAUUCAUACCUCCCAUUCGAGUAUCCUCCACCACCACCACCUCGACCUCCCCGGGGGGCAUUGGAAUGACCUCUUCUAGCACCUCUAUGACCUCUCUGGUUCUGGUGGGUUCCACGAGGUACAUACUGUUGCUGAUAAUCUCUCUUUGACCUCCCUCCUUCCACCUGAGUAUAUCCUUGUUCCUGCUGUCCUUGGACCAACUCUCCUUCCGUCACUGACUCAUCCUUCAAACCCCAAAUAUAUAAAAAAAAAAAAAUCAACAAAUUCAGCCUAGAGCAAUCGAUUUAUAAAGAUGCUUUUAAAAGCUCCACAUUUCACUGGAUUACCUUUGGUUGCUCAGAUUGAUCAUUAACAGCAGGUUCUUG